rnacentral:rRNA from 1 species
UCGCGAAUUUUUCACAAUGGGCGCAAGCCUGAUGGAGCCACGCCGUGUGCAGGAUGAAGGCCCUCUGGGUUGUAAACUGCUGUCAGGGAAGGGGAAACGCUUGGCGUGAAUAGCGUCAGGUUUGACUGCUUUCCAAAGGAAGCCCCGGCAAAACAUGUGCCAGCAGCCGCGGUAAUACAUGUGGGGCAAGCGUUGUUCGGAAUCACUGGGCAUAAAGGGUGCGUAGGCGGCAUGACAAGUCAGUGGUGAAAUCCUUCGGCCCAACCGGAGAACUGCCAUUGAUACUGUUGUGCUUGAGUGCGGGAGGGGUAGCUGGAACGAGUGGUGUAGCGGUGAAAUGCGUAGAUAUCACUCGGAACACCAAAGGCGAAGGCAGGCUACUGGACCGCAACUGACGCUG